rnacentral:rRNA from 1 species
AUUGAACGCUGGCGGCAGGCCUAACACAUGCAAGUCGAGCGGAUGACGGGAGCUUGCUCCUUGAUUCAGCAGCGGACGGGUGAGUAAUGCCUAGGAAUCUGCCUGGUAGUGGGGGACAACGUUCCGAAAGGGGCGCUAAUACCGCAUACGUCCUACGGGAGAAAGUGGGGGAUCUUCGGACCUCACGCUAUCAGAUGAGCCUAGGUCGGAUUAGCUAGUUGGUGAGGUAAAGGCUCACCAAGGCGACGAUCCGUAACUGGUCUGAGAGGUUGAUCAGUCACACUUGAACUGAGACACGGUCCAGACUCCUACGGGAGGCAGCAGUGGGGAAUAUUGGACAAUGGACGAAAGCCUGAUCCAGCCAUGCCGCGUGUGUGAAGAAGGUCUUCGGAUUGUAAAGCACUUUAAGUUGGGAGGAAGGGCAGUAAGUUAAUACCUUGCUGUUUUGACGUUACCGACAGAAUAAGCACCGGCUAACUCUGUGCCAGCCGCCGCAGUAACAC